UUAAUUAAUAUAAUGAAAGGAAUUAAGACAAAUCAUAAUGACCCUUAUAAUAUGGGCUAUAGACGUGCUAUAAUAAAAUAAUAAAUAAAGUUAAAUAAUAUAUUAAUAAAUAAUAUAUAAUAAAUAACAUAAAAUAUUUUAAUAUUUAAUAUAUUUUUAUAUUAUAUAUAAUAUGAAUUAUUAACUGUAAUUUGUUAAUAUGAAAUAAGAAUUGUUAGUAAUACGUAAAUUAGUAUGUUACGGU
rnacentral:rRNA from 1 species